rnacentral:lncRNA from 1 species
AACUUCUGACGAGCGCAGGCUCGGGCUCAGGCUCCGACACGGGCUCUGGCCCCCGGCCUGGCUUGGCGGCCCGGCCGGGUCCCCUCGGCGCGGGAUGGGCACGGACCCUCAGCAUCAGCCGAGAUGGCAGGCGGGCUGGAGACCCCGAGGCCCGGUCACCGCCGCGCAGAGCGUGGCCGCCUCGCUGCUCCAGCACGGCUCGCCCAGGGCCGACUGGGGCGGCUUGGACCCCCCUCCCACCCACCCCACCCACCCACCCCUCCCCCACACCCCCGCCCCCUGCCCUUCCCGAGGGCAGCAGCCGCGGCCCGGAGAUAAGCGCUAGUGCGGCGCCGGGCUCUGCCUGGGCUAGUGGCACCGACUUGGAAAUUACCAGCCGCCGCCGCUGCGCCCUUUCUAGACAAAUCCCACAGCAGUUCACCCGGCUCCCCCAAAACCGCAGAGCUUUUCUUUACUGAGAGGACCCCUUGGUUCCACCAAUUCCCCCAAAUCCCCGUGGCUCCCGAUCUCUCAUCCAGGGGGACUAGAAGAAAAGAUUUUCUCAGCACUAGAAGAAUACUUGGAGCAGCAAAGGUGCCCGUGGUGUCUUUCUACCAUUCAAGGGGUGUCCUCCUGAAGGCGUCUGAGAGGGCCUCUGGCGGUUCCAAGGCUGUGCAGCCGGGGAGGAAGGAAAAGGAAACGCCAAGACAUAGAAAACCACGCUUUUCCCGUAGGAAGAACCGAUGAUGAGCCCUGAUGAAAGAAGGAAGAAGACCCGCUGUCUGCGAAGGCCUAAAGGUUAGAAAUACAGCAAUUUUUCUCAUGCCGAAGGAAAGGCAAAAUGGUCUAAGAAACUGCAAGAGUGUGAUACAAGUUUUCCUCAACAGCGAGCUGGGACUGGCGACAAUUUCUUAACUCACAGCCUCCGCAGUCGCCUUAGUCGACAAAGAGAGCAGCCCACGCAGCGGCCGCCGCGCCCGUGCCCGUGGCCUUUACUUGCUUUUGCCCUGAAGUUCAGUGUAGUGGUUUGUUUGGGGCUUGCAGGAAGAAACAAACACACUCCCUCUGACUCUCCACAACCCAUCUUUGCCUUCUGCAACCGCUUCUCCUGCCCAUCGCUGGUUUUGGGGUAGGCUCUUUGUCUGCCUGAGGCCCCGCACUCGCAGGGCAAGAAGCUUAAAGGAAUCCAACUCCAAACUCCUCCGAAGUUAAAUAUUGACCAGAACCUCUUUCAACAGGCCGCGGUUGCCAGGAACCGUGGAGGGCCAACUCCUCCCAACCGCCCUGGUGCAAAGUCCCACGCGGCGAAGAGUUUUGGAGCAGCGCUUACCUAGAAAGAUGUUUAAAUUCUGAACCAGGAAUUGUCUCCAACUCCAGGCGCUCAGGGAAUCGCCUUUUCCGGUGUCCAGGCGCUCUGCAGACAAAUAAACAGCAGAAGGUGAAUGGCGGCUGCGAGGGAAGGGAGUUGGAGGCCGGGAGUGGGAAGCGAGGCUCAUGCGGGCGCCAAGGUGGCCCUGGGGGUGACGCGAACAUCAGGGAGUCACCAGGGCACUCGUCCGUGUGGCGCACUCAUUGCUCGAAAUGUUCCAGUCUACAAAUGGUCCGAAGAUGGUGAUUUAUUUUUGUAAAAUAAAUACAUACUCCAUCUCCACACCCAUACUUUCUCCUUUUUCUUUCUUUUUUUUGGCGGGGGAGUGGGGAAGGAAAGGACAUGAAGCAAACAGAGGAAGCUGAGAAGGUGGAAGUGGCUUUGCUGGUGGUGUGGGCUGCUUUCAGAGAGCUCUCUCCUCAGGCACCACAACUUGGAGAAUGUGAAUGCUUGCUUUAUUUUCCUUUCCUAACAAAAGGAAGCCUUGUCUGGGAGCAUUCAAUCACGGACUCUCCUGAAACCUCACUAAUAUGUGUUCAUUUCUGUAGGCGCGAAAUCAGACCCGGGUUCAUUCCACUGGCCAGAGGCAGUCUUGGGAGGAUUUGUGUUCUGGUUUAUUCAACUCUGGCAAAUGGUCACCGAGCCGGCAGUCAGCUUUCUGGGAGUGGGAGAUGAUGGGGAAAGAGGAAAGAAUCGUCCGCUCGCCGGACCCUGGCUUGGAGAAGUUCUGCGCUCCGCUGGGACUCUGCGGGCCCUUUGCGUCUACAGACCUAUCCCUGCCCCGACUACCCCUUCACUCAGACCCAGCCUUCCCCAGCGUGAAUCAGAACAUUACCAACUGUCUGCGCAUCCGUCCCACUUCAUCACCAAAGCCAGGAUGUGACCGCAGAAAACCCAAGCCCGAACUCACGUUUCCCCGGACGCGGCGCGCUCCCUGGACUCGCAGAAACCCUGCGGAAAAGGCCCCAAGAUCUGGUGAGGGCCUGCCAGCUCCGUCCUCCCUGCCGAGGGCUCUCUCCUGCCUUCCUGAAGGAGUUAAAAGCCUUUGGAGAUAAAUCUGAGGGUGUGUGUUUUUAAAAAUCAAAUGGUAAGUUGGAAUCUCACUUCUGAGAGAUUCAUUCCUAGUGAGGCCCUGACGACUCCGAUCCAUUCCUGACGAUCUGCAUUAAUUAUUUAAUGAGUCACGUGACCUCAAAGAUUACAAUUUCAAUAUCUCCCUUGCACAGGCGCUACACCUUUAUCAGCUGCAACCAGGGUCCUUUUUUUGGCUCUGCCGGCCUCCGGGGCACAUUCAUCCUUGCCCUGGUCUGAGGCAAGCCACCACCAUGGAAAUAGCAGGGCAAGCAUGACAGAAUUAGUCAUCCUGGGAUUAUGACCGUUGUGGAUAGUGGGGAGUCCACUGCUCUCCGAGAUGCCCUGACAUCUGUCCCCUCCUGAGCCCAGUGGCCAGUCCACCUGUCUGAGCUCUAUGACUAGGGUGGCUUGGUUACAAAAUCUCCCCAAGCAGCUUUGAUGGCCCAUGAGGCAAGAACCCAUCCUUCUUCUCUGGCUGUACACACCUGUGACCGUCCAGGUCAAGUGUAAGCUUAGAUGCAUACCUCCAUUCCUGGCAGAAUAUCUUCCUAAGAGGAAAGAUGUCUGUGCUCUUAUUGCUCUCUAGAGUGAGACUAAAGGUUGCAUUCCACCCUCGUACUCAUUAACUUAAGGAACGGUGGAGGGAGGAUCAUUCGGCUGCCUCAGUUUUCUCAUCUGUAAAUUAAGAAGAUUGAACCAAAAUGGCCUCCAGGUCUCCUUCACUUUGGACAGUCUUUCAAUCUGGGAAUCUCUUUCAGCCCCAGGAAACAAUCCCAGAGAAAGUAGGGCUGGCUUGAAAGGGAAGGGGUUGCCCCGUGAUUUUGGAGUCUUCAGAAGAGGUGCCAGAGUUCUGUAAGUUGCAGCCUAGAGGGUUUCAAGACAGCCACAGCAGCCUCCCUCAUACCAUCAAGGGAACAGAACACACGUCUCUUCCUCCUAUUGUUUCCAGCCCAUGUGUUUCUUUGGAACACGAAGCAGAAUUAUUCUUGGGACAGUGUAUAAUAUAGGGAAGGGGCAACACAGCAGCAGUUGAGAAAGGUGAGCCUGUGUUCUGCUAUACAAGACUGUGUUUAGGGAUGCAGAGACCAGGGGAGUGCCAAGGGCAGCCUACUGCCUGCACAGAACCCACUCAUUCAGAGGGGAAGCCCCAGGCUUUUUUGCUACAUUGAUUCUUUGGGUUUUUCUUCUCUUUCAUUCUAAAGAGUCAUUGAUCUGUUUCUAUGUGGGAACUGCUAGAGGGAAGGCAACAGUGAGGAGAGCAGAGUUUGGAAGCUUAGGGGAACAGGGGGACAGAGGAAAGAUGGUGAUAUCCACCCCACCCCACCCCAUAGGGAGGAGGCUGAGAUAUAGGGGAAUGGGGCCCGCUGGGACAACUGGGUAUGAAGUCAGAGAUGCUAUGCGAAGGGACUUCCCUCCUCCCCCAUCUAUCUAGGUAAUCUUCCCAUGGCUCCAUCCUGGGUAUUAAGUACUCUACUAUGCCUGUCACAGUUGAAUUCCUGCUGUAAUAAAACACCGGGUAUAUCAUAGAUUUCAGCAAAACUAGGGAAGGAAGCCUGCAAAGUGCCAUUUUUCUUCAAGGGGGAGAGUGUUAAGUACUUAAUUCAAACUGUGACCAUUAAAGUGUCUCCUAUCCGAUUUAGGUCGAUUUCAGAUGUUGACAAAACUUUUGUCUCCGGAGUCAUGCACAACUUGGCUCUGUGACUAAAGCAGAUGAGUGUGUAUUGGAGGGAGGGAGAAAGAGAGAAAAGGAGAGUAUGUGUAAGGCUCAUUUUGGUAAAAUUAUAGAGCUUACACAAAAUACUGUCUUUAAAGGUCAAGGAUUUGAGGGGCCAGUAGGGUUUGCUUAAAAAAAAAAAACAAUUAAUGAGAUAGAAAAUUUGUCCUCUCGGUGAACUCUUAUGGUUGCCCUAGCAAAGGGCAGACAAUGCAUGAUUUUGAAGCACAAAGUGGGAUUUUCUAAUCUCUUAUAACAAGCUCCCUUAAAGGCCAAUUUGAAGCAGGCAAAACAACACUUAAGAAAUGGCAAUCAUUUGGAUCAUUUUCUAUAAUCUGGGUUUUGUAAAACUCACCAAUACCUUAAUAAUCAAUACAGUUGGGACAAAAAUGCCAUCUUGUCCUGGAAUAUCAGAAAAAUGAUCUCAAUCCUCUCUCUUCCCUUUCUGGAUGGACUUAUAAGUGCAAGUGAAAGAAAGUCACCCCUUUCAUCCUCAUACAACUGCCUGCAGCAUGAAGCUAAUGAAUAUUCCCAUACCCCUCUUUUCCCACAAAGGAGAAAUAUAAGAAUUUACCUUAAAUGAUGAUAGUCUGCCAUUUGAGAUUUUGCAGCUUGACACUCAAUUUCCACUGAGAGUCUAGGCAUUUUUUUUUUUUAGCAGACAGCCAAGAUGCUGUGUCCUUGCCUGAGACCACAUUAUUUGCAAGAAGAUCCCUCUCUCCUCCACAGACUUUUCCCAGAGAAUGCCUUUCAGAAUUGCUGUUGAAUUACAAAGAAGUAUUUAUUGUUUGAG